CCUACGGGAGGCAGCAGUAAGGAAUAUUGGUCAAUGGACGCAAGUCUGAACCAGCCAUGCCGCGUGAAGGAUGAAUGCCCUCUGGGUUGUAAACUUCUUUUAUAGGGGACGAAAAAGGGUCUUUUUAGAUCAACUGACGGUACCCUAGGAAUAAGCACCGGCUAACUCCGUGCCAGCAGCCGCGGUAAUACGGAGGGUGCAAGCGUUAUCCGGAUUUACUGGGUUUAAAGGGUGCGUAGGUGGGUUGGUAAGUCAGCGGUGAAAUCUUCGAGCUUAACUCGGAAACUGCCAUUGAUACUAUCAGCCUUGAAUAUCCUGGAGGUGAGCGGAAUAUGUCAUGUAGCGGUGAAAUGCUUAGAUAUGACAUAGAACACCAAUUGCGAAGGCAGCUCACUACGGGAUUAUUGACACUGAGGCACGAAAGCGUGGGGAUCAAACAGGAUUAGAUACCCUGGUAGUCCACGCCCUAAACGAUGGAUACUCGACAUUUGCGAUAUACCAGUAAGUGUCUGNGCGAAGANAUAGUAUACCACCNCGGAGACGAGCGCGAGAGUAGAACGUACAAUAGAGUAGAGCGNGAGAGNGCGACGGACGACGACGAGGGAGGAGG
rnacentral:rRNA from 1 species